rnacentral:rRNA from 1 species
GACGUAGGUGGCGAACGUUAUCCGGAAUUAUUGGGCGUAAAGGGUGCGUAGAUGGCUUGAUAAGUUAGCAGUGGGAAAUCGAGGCUCAACCUCGUGGAAGCUGGUAAUACUGUCAGGCUCGAGUGCAGGAGAGGUUAACGGAACUCCAUGUGGAGCGGUAAAAUGUGUAGAUAUAUGGAAGAACACCAAUAACGGCGAAGGCAGUUAACUAUUCUGUUACUGACGCUGAGGUGCGAAAGCGUGGGGAGCAAACAGG